rnacentral:sRNA from 1 species
GAGAAGACCCUGAGAUUCUGUUUCUUAAAGCAGCAGCAAUAGACCAGGUGGACAGUGCCUCCAGCCUACCCAUGUCUCUAAGAUGUGUUGGUGUGAUUUGGUCUUGUGGCACUGCCAAAGGGAUCAAUAAGGAGAGACCCCAUGCCUCAGAUCAAGAGCCUGAUGAAAGUAGUUCAAAGAUGCGAUGCCCUUUCUCACCAUCCCUUUCCAGAAAUACGAACAGGGAUUCAUCACAGACCCUGUGGUCCUCAGCCCCAAGGAUCGCGUGCGGGAUGUUUUUGAGGCCAAGGCCCGGCAUGGUUUCUGCGGUAUCCCAAUCACAGACACAGGCCGGAUGGGGAGCCGCUUGGUGGGCAUCAUCUCCUCCAGGGACAUUGAUUUUCUCAAAGAGGAGGAACAUGACUGUUUCUUGGAAGAGAUAAUGACAAAGAGGGAAGACUUGGUGGUAGCCCCUGCAGGCAUCACACUGAAGGAGGCAAAUGAAAUUCUGCAGCGCAGCAAGAAGGGUAAGUCCUAGAGCUGGGAAAGGGCCUGGAACUAAUAAUGCUCAGGGUCCUGAUUCAUGUCCUGCCCUGACCACAGGAAAGUUGCCCAUUGUAAAUGAAGAUGAUGAGCUUGUGGCCAUCAUUGCCCGGACAGACCUGAAGAAGAAUCGGGACUACCCACUAGCCUCCAAAGAUGCCAAGAAACAGCUGCUGUGUGGGGCAGCCAUUGGCACUCAUGAGGAUGACAAGUAUAGGCUGGACUUGCUCGCCCAGGCUGGUGUGGAUGUAGUGGUUUUGGUGAGCUGCUACACAGGUGGGUUGGGGCAAUAGGGGCAGCUGCCACAUCACAGUCUGAGACUUACUUCCUGUCCCAGGACUCUUCCCAGGGAAAUUCCAUCUUCCAGAUCAAUAUGAUCAAGUACAUCAAAGAGAAAUACCC